CACGUAGGGUGCGAGCGUUGUCCGGAAUUAUUGGGCGUAAAGAGCUCGUAGGCGGUGUGUCGCGUCGGCCGUGAAAACCUGCAGCUUAACUGUGGGCUUGCGGUCGAUACGGGCAUCACUGGAGUUCGGCAGGGGAGACUGGAAUUCCUGGUGUAGCGGUGAAAUGCGCAGAGAGUCCGGGAGGAACACCGGUGGCGAAGGCGGGUCUCUGGGGCCCGAUACUGACGGCUGAGGAGCGAAAGCGUGGGGAGCAAACAGG
rnacentral:rRNA from 1 species